GACGAACGCUGGCGGCGUGCUUAACACAUGCAAGUCGAACGAUGAAGCUGGAGCUUGCUCCGGUGGAUUAGUGGCGAACGGGUGAGUAACACGUGAGCAAUCUGCCCUUGACUCUGGGAUAACUGCGGGAAACUGUAGCUAAUACCGGAUACUUUCACUGGAAGGCAUCUUCUGGUGAAGAAAGAAUUUCGGUCAAGGAUGAGCUCGCGGCCUAUCAGCUUGUUGGUGAGGUAACGGCUCACCAAGGCGACGACGGGUAGCCGGCCUGAGAGGGUGACCGGCCACACUGGGACUGAGACACGGCCCAGACUCCUACGGGAGGCAGCAGUGGGGAAUAUUGCAAAUGGGCGCAAGCCUGAUGCAGCAACGCCGCGUGAGGGAUGAAGGCCUUCGGGUCGUAAACCUCUUUUAGCAGGGAAGAAGCGAAAGUGACGGUACCUGCAGAAAAGCACCGGCUAACUACGUGCCAGCCGCCGCAGUAA
rnacentral:rRNA from 1 species